GGAUGGGGUUGUCUGCAGAAAUUGGAAGAAGCUUGGAGGGGGAGAAAAAGACAAAACACGACAAAUGUUUAGUGCUCUAUGUCUGCGUCCCCCUCUCUCUCCCUCUCUCUCCUUCAACCCUUGUAUGUGACAACACACAUGCACCAACACUUGAAGAUCUAAUAUUAGGCGCCAUGCGUCUUAAUCUUGGCACUCAAAAAAAAAAAAAAAACAGCCUGGGUGCAGAAAGCGGAGGGCAGGGGCUCAGUCACUGUCCAGAGUGAGGUGAUGGGGAUCAGCACGUGUGUCUGCAAAUGAGAAUGGAUGGUGCAUUCCCUGCUGCUUUCUCUUCUCUGUGUUUUUGACAGCUAUUAUAGCUCUUUAACCCCCUACAUGGCAAUUGAAAUAGAGGUUCACCGCGUCCUCCAGCUGCGACCCCAGGCACUGCAACCCGAUAGAUGAUUGCAUCUAUCCUGAAAAAUACGUGUUUCCCUGUCAUUCGGGGUGGUGUAUUUAGUCCAUAAGGGCUUUAAACGAUCCUGGGAUGGGUAAUCACGUUAGCAGUGAUGUCACCUUUUCCUGCCUGCAUAGCCCACGUGCUUAUUACUACAGAUGCAAAAAGUGAAAUCCUUAAAACAGAAGGUCUAAACUAAAAAAAGAAAACUAAACAAAAAACAAAAAAGCUAAAAAAAAAAACUACUUUGGACCUUUUCUGUGCUUUUGUGAACUAAUAUCUAAAAACAAUCUGCUGCUACACUGACAAUUUUUGACUUGUGGGUGUCUAAAAUGCUAUAAACACUCUGAGUCAUGUACAUGCAUUAUGUCAGACAGAUAAGGCAUCACACCCACGGUGCUUACACACACCCACAUGCAAGGUUGUGCAGCUCCCUCUGACAAUUUUGUAAAGUAUAUGAACCCUCGCUGCUGCUUCUAUGGGCCAGAGCAAACCCAGACAAAAAAAGUAAAUAUCCUCCAGCAGCAGUGGAUUUGAUGCCAGCUGUGUAAAUGGCUUCUAUCACAAUAAUAAAUCAUUAACCUUUUGGUCAGCAACUAUGCUGUUCCCUGAAAACCAAAACAGGCCAAGCAAGAAGGAAAAGAGUCCCGCUCCUAUCAAUGAAAUGCCAUUUUCAGACUCUAACAUUUUGCUAAGCAGCGCAGCAGAGAAGUUGGAGCGCAUCCUGCUCUCAGGCUAGAUAACACUCGCACUUCCCACCACUGAAUGAGAAGGUGGGAAAUCAAGUGGUGAGAAGACAAAAAGGACACACAGCUCCUUUUUUUGUGAGACGCUAGAGGGCAUUUUUCACCUGGCACAUCUCUUAAUGGAACAAAUGUGGACUCAUCAAGAGCGGCCGAACAGGGCAUGGCUUUAAGCAGACUCCUGCUGCUCUGUGUGGUAGCCUCUGAGGUGUGGGACGCAGAGACCAAAUCCAGAGAGUUUGUGUGUAUUCGAGUUGCCAGGCGGGCUUUGAAUAUUGUGCCAGAGAUGAACAGCGCACUGUCAUCCAUCAGUCUGUCUGUCUGCUGUCCACCUGUCUGUCUGGCUCCUGUCACCUGUCUUUUCCACAUCUCUUUCUUUCCAGAGUGACUGCAAUGGGAUGAUGACCCUCUCCACACCUGUUCCGCUGCCCUGCACUGAGCUUCACAUAGCGACCUGGGAAAACAAAUCAGAUCAGGAGAAGAGAGGAGACAUAGUUGCAUCCUUGAGGCUUCUGGUUGAGGGUGUAAAGGUUGUAAGAGCCCCAAUGCAGGCCGGAUGUGAAGCCACAUUACUGCAGAGACUGGAGAACAACAUCAACAACUACCUGCUCAUACUCACACGCCUUCAGCUGAGUGGGUCAGUGAUGUCUCCUUCAUUGUCUUGUGUUCCUCGAAGCACCCAAAGUCUGAGAGCAGUCCUGCUGAGCUACAGCCAACUGAUCUCAGGCAAACUGGAGCGGUUUAUGCUGAACCUGGAAGACACAUGCACUACCCAGUGACAAAAGGACAAUUCUUUACAAAUGGGGGUUGAGUUCAUCACUUCUGGAGCCGAAUGCCAGAAAAAUAAGAAGUGCAUCAAAGCAAAACAGCAGGAUGGAACUAUAUCUCGUUCCAUUUGGCAAAAUUUUCAUUUGUUGAGAGUCAGCUUUAGUACUGUGUGAUGUGUAGGCUUGCCCAAAAGUGUAAAUUCAUCAUUCUCUGCUAGAAAUUAUGAGAAAUUAAAGCUGAAUAACCACAGAGAAAGGAAACAAUACACCAUCUGUGAUAGGCAUCAGAGGCAAACUAAAGUAUAAUAAUACAGUGAUUUUUGUGUCAAUCAACAUGAACGAAGUGAUGCUUUAAAUCUGACUGUCGGCCUGUAAUAUAAAUAAAAACCUAUAUGAUGUUUUUAUGUAGCCACGAGCGAGCUUUGUCAAGUCUCCAGUUUAUGUAAAAUAAUUAAAAUCCAACUUGAUCAUC